CGUACCCGUCAGCGUUGCCUCGGCGGGCGGCCCCUCCCUGGGGCCGCUGCCUCCCUCACGGGGGGUGCCCGCCGGCGUACCAAAACUCUUUUGUAUUUUAGUGGCCUCUCUGAGAAAACAAGCAAAUAAGUUAAAACUUUCAACAACGGAUCUCUUGGUUCUGGCAUCGAUGAAGAACGCAGCGAAAUGCGAUAAGUAAUGUGAAUUGCAGAAUUCAGUGAAUCAUCGAAUCUUUGAACGCACAUUGCGCCCGCUAGUAUUCUAGCGGGCAUGCCUGUUCGAGCGUCAUUUCAACCCUCAAGCCCUGCUUGGUGUUGGGGUCCUACGGCUGCCGUAGGCCCUGAAAACUAGUGGCGGGCUCGCUAUAACUCCGAGCGUAGUAGUAACAUAUCUCGCUAGGGAGGUGUCGCGGGUUCCGGCCGUGAAAGCCCCAUCUUUUACACAAGGUUGACCUCGGAUCAGGUAGGAAUACCCGCUGAACUUAAGCAUAUCAAUA
rnacentral:rRNA from 1 species